AAAGGAAUAGACGGGGGCCCGCACAAGCGGAGGAACAUGUGGUUUAAUUCGAUGAUACGCGAGGAACCUUACCUGGGCUUAAAUGGGGACUGACGCAUUCAGAAAUGGAUGUUUCUUCGGACAGUCUUCAAGGUGCUGCAUGGUUGUCGUCAGCUCGUGCCGUGAGGUGUCGGGUUAAGUCCCAUAACGAGCGCAACCCUUACCGUUAGUUACCAUCAGGUCAAGCUGGGGACUCUAACGGGACUGCCACCGUAAGGUGAGAGGAAGGUGGGGAUGACGUCAAAUCAGCACGGCCCUUAUGUCCAGGGCUACACACGUGUUACAAUGGCCGGUACAGAGGGCAGCUACUCCGCGAGGGGAUGCUAAUCUUAAAAAGCCGGUCUCAGUUCGGAUCGAAGUCUGCAACCCGACUUCGUGAAGCUGGAUUCGCUAGUAAUCGCGCAUCAGCCAUGGCGCGGUGAAUACGUUCCCGGGCCUUGUACACACCGCCCGU
rnacentral:rRNA from 1 species